rnacentral:lncRNA from 10 species
AUGGACCAUGUCCCAGGAUGACUGGGGCAUGGGAAAUAUAGCAUUUCAGUGUGCGGCAUCAUCAUGCAAGCUCUGUAAGAGGAGAGUAAGAUCAGUACUCCUACUUGUAAAUGAAAGAGAAGAAAACAAAAACAAGCAAAUUCCUUCUAAGGUGUGAGGAACACGAGUAAACAGAGAAAUCACCUAAGGAGAAAACAGGAAGCAGAUUUGAAACUGUGGCCACCAACGACACGAGGGAGCGCAAAACCCAGCCCACUUGCCAGGGAGGCUGGCAGAGCCCACACCCAGUCUGGUGCCCUGGUCGGUUACAUUCUGCUUUUUGAAGCAGCGUUCAAAAUCAGUUGUGGAUCAAGUCAAGAUGAACUCUGAAACAAUACUUUAAAUACCCCUGGAUGAUUUUGAAGGUAUUUGUAAGUGAGAAUAAUUCAUUCUGCUUUAAAGCAUAAAAUCAACUUCCCCCAAAUGCAACAUGUUAGUUAAAAGAAUCAUACCCUUUUUAAAAAAAACUUUGAUGGCAUCCAGCCAGAAACUACCUGCUCAUAAUUUGCUGAAAUCUACAUAGCUCAUCAUUUCACGUUGUAAACUCCAUUGCACAUAGAACACAUAGCUAAAACAGAGGAGCCUGCUAAAUGCACAUAUUUGCCACUGGGCUGGUCCUGGUCUUUAAAUGUGGCACACCAAUUCCACAGAAGAGAAGGUCAAACUGCUUUGAAUUUGAGAGACUCAAUCCUUUAUUUCCAUCAGACUUCCAGAAAAACAGUGACCUGAAAUGGCAGAGGGGUUCCUCAAUCCUUGUAGACAAAAUAUGAACAACCAGGCUUCUCUCCCUUCCAAUGGAACGUAAAUGGAAAAAAGCAAACCACAGCCGCCUGCAUUUAGGAGAAGCUUUUAUUUAUCUCAUUAUCAAGAUCCUUUUAAUUUGCUAAGAGUUUCUUAUGGCAAACAAAUACCUCUUACCCCCCACUUCCGAGAAUGCGGGAACAGAUGAAAGGAAAGUGUAAUGGUUUUGAUCUCAUUAGGACAUCGGCAUUAGUGGGGCAGCAAUUAUAAAAGUAAUUGACUCUGCUUCACCCGGCGUCGGGAGGGAGUCAUUCUGAAGACCCAUCGUGCUCCGAGGUUGGGCUGUCAUCCUUCAUCUUCUGCUGUGUGCCCGUGUGUUAGGUUUUCAUCCCUCAAAGGCAUUCAGUCUUUCUCUGGGACUCAAAGUGCAGCAUAAGAAAUAUCUUGGAGUGUUGGUUAUUGCUGCCUGGGAUUGACUGUUCAGAUACAGCUCCAUCAGGGAAACCAAAUAUGUUGCUGCCACCCUGACAUUUUUGUGUUUUUCUACCUGAUCAUCUGUAUAGGACAAGGGAAUUUCUUCUCUGUGGUGACCUGUCAUGAAUUAAUGAUCCCAGCAUACCCAGUAAAGUUUUUAAUGUGCAGUAUGGGUUAAUUCAUAAGACAUGGUCUGACUCAGGUUUGUUUAUACAAAAAUGUGCUCUGUCCACACCAACAUGGCACAUGUAUACACGUGUAACAAACCUGCACGUUGUACACAUGUACCCUAGAACUUAAAGUAUAUAUAUAUAAAAAAACAAAACUAGUUAUUGGGCACUAUACUCUCUACCUGGGGUUGCACCCCAACUCUCAGCAUCACACAAUAUACCCAUGUAACAACCUG